rnacentral:lncRNA from 1 species
CCAUAUAGGUUAUUAUAGGCUCUUGAGUAGGUUUCCCCGUGCUCUACGGUAGGUCCUUGUUAGUUUUCUAUUUCAUACACAGUAAUGUGUGUGUGUUAUUCCCAUUCUCCUGAUUAUUAUUCUUUUUGUGUGUAAAACACAUAAUACCGUCCAUAAAAAAAUACACCAGGAGUUCCCGUCGUGGCGCAGUGGUUAACGAAUCCGACUAGGAACCAUGAGGUUGCGGGUUCGGUCCCUGCCCUUGCUCAGUGGGUUAACGAUCCGGCGUUGCCAUGAGCUGUGGUGUAGGUUGCAGACGCGGCUCGGAUCCCGCGUUGCUGUGGCUCUGGCGUAGGCUGGUGGCUACAGCUCCGAUUCAACCCCUAGCCUGGGAACCUCCAUAUGCCAAGGGAGCGGCCCAAGAAAUAGCAACAACAACAAAAGACAAAAGACAAAAAAAAAAAAAAAAAAACACACCAUAUAAAAUUUCAUCAUGGGGGAGGUGAAAAAUAUAUCUAAAAAUGCUUGAUUUUAGGGUGCAGAUAAUAGAAAGAGGUUAAGAAAAUGUAAGAAACUGCUUUUUUUUUUUCAUCACAUUUGCUUCUUCUUUGACAGUCGUUACUUUGUAUCAUCCUAUGAUUCUCUUACAAGGUGGGAAAACCAUGGCUCUGAAACCCAGCCUCUGGCACAGGGCUCGCACGUACUGGCAUUUGCUGUUUAUUUACUUGAAUGAACAGAUGACGAUUGAGAUGUUUGCUUCGAAGCAUGGCUGCUCCACACUGGAAACUCCUGUAAAAACCGUUCUUAAUACAACUUCCAGGAUCGCACCCCACAUCUGGAGUAGGACCUGGAAACAGGCAUUUCAAAGCACUACCCAUUUUAUGAUUGGAUUUCCCAACUCUCGCUCCCCCAGUCGAGGAAUCCCUUUCCUUUUCUUGUGGAGACAUCUGCAUUCAUAAAAACACAACCCCAAAGAGGUGGUAUAGUCAUCUGUUGUUGCAUCCUGUUCUGAUCAGACCACAGAGCACUGGUUUCCGUUCGAGGUGCCAUUUCCUGGGGGAGGGCGGGGGGAGUGUCGCCAGGCACCAGCAUUUCCAGAGAAGUUCAGGGGUGCCCGCUUCUCUCCUGGGUGAGGAUCUCAGGCUGCGGGCUUCUGUGAAUGUGGCGGGCAGUGUGGGCUGGCCCAGUAGCAGGACAGGGAUUCUUUCACCAGCCUCUGAGCAAUAUGGCCAGACGCGGAAGGCUAGAUGGCUUGGGGACCCCGUGAACUCUAGGGUGCUUAUUGGUGGGAGUGCAGGUGAUUUUUAGCGGCAGGCCCUGAGCUCUUGCUUUAGUCCUGUCUGGGGAAGAAGUGUUCCAGUAAUUUGAAUGGGACAAUGGGAGCCACACUUACCAAAUCUAUGGACGAUACCCUCUAAGAGGAAUAUCAAAUGCAUAGAACAGCAGGUCUCUAACAACCAUCCAGGAGGUCAGAACCAAGCUGCAGCUCCAAUUCGGCCCCUAGCCUGGGAACUUCCAUAUCCCAUGCGUGUGGCCCUAAAAAGAAAAAGGUCACGCCACUUCCGUUACGGUGAAAGGAGUAUCAGAGAUAACACAAGUGACCUACGUAUGUGAUUCCCAGACAUCAGUAUAAUGCCAUGAAUGUAACAGAAAAAGAAAAGUCGUUUUAGAACAAAAGGACCAUAGGAGAUAUAUUGUAGAACGAUUGGUUCUUCCAUCUUCCUUGUUUUGAAAAUAUGAAUUUGUGCCAGUGUGGCUGCUGUCUUUGAGUGUUCGUGUUUACUCAUGUGUGGUUUUGUCCACGAGAAACACAGGUGAACACAGAAUACCUCACGCAAGUGACUUCUGCCCAUAGGUUACGCAAAACGCCAGUGUGCACGCAAUUGAGACAUCAGCCAGCCCCCUCAGGUCACCUUGAGGUAGAAGCCACGUGGACCCAAAUCUGGCACAGCUUGCCUCCACGUCACAGUAACACAAGCUGCAGCCCUUCUGCUGCCCAGCCUUGUGCAGGCAAACCUCAGGUCUUUUCCAAGGUGACGCGGCCCUUCUCUUGUAAGACUUGUGUAUCCCUUGGCCUGUGUAACAUUUCCCAUGUGUAAAACUAUGCCACCUUUUUUAUUAGGUUCUUUUUAACAUGCGUCGAGGUUGAAGGUUUUUUUUUUUUCUUUCGGUUUUUAAAGUUUUCUCGAAGUAUAUGGAUUUACAGUGUCGUGGUAAUUUCUGUUGUACUCCAGGCAGAUCCAGCUACACAUGUACACACGUCAAUUCUUCUUCAGAUUCUUUGCCCAUGUAGGUUAUCACAGAAUGUUGGGUAGAGUUCCCUGUGCUAUACAGCAGGUCUCCGUUGGCCAAUCAUUUCACAUUCCACGGUGUGCAUGUGUCCCAAACCCCAGUCCAUCCCUCCCCUGACUUGUCCCCUUUGGGAGCCACAAGUUUGUUUUCAAAGUUUUGAGUCUUGUGGUCCUCACUCCAUUUUCCCCACAGGCCCUUUUUUGUUGUGUUUUGUUUUUGUUUUGCUUUCUAGGGCCUCACCCACGGCAUAUGGAAGUUCCCAGGCUAGGGCUCAAAUUGGAGCUGCAGCUACUGGCCACAGCCACAGCACUGCAGGAUCCAAGCUGCGUCUGUGACCUACACCACAGCUCACAGCAACGCCGGAUCCUUAACCUACCGAGUGAGGCCAGGGAUCAAACCCACAUCCUCGUGAAUACUGGUCGAAUUCGUUACUGCUGAACCACAGCAGAAACUCCCAGUCCUGUGUUUUUUUUAUCAUGUGAUUUUGUGCAGUGAGGUGACUCGUUAGGAAUGCAUAUAUUGUGUUCUGUCAGAACGAACUGUACUCAGAUGCUUGUCCCCGAUGCAGUGAGUUAGUUUGGAUUUUAUAGAUGUAAAACAAUCUUCAACUGAAUAGUGUUGAUACUUUUUCUUUCUAUUGGACAUUUUGAAAGAAGGGUGAGAUAAGUAUAUUAGCACUUAGGCAUAGAAUUGCCUUCAAUUCAGAUGCAGCUCAAAGCAUCUGAACUGUGCUGUGACUCACAUACCCAUGGUGACACUGUUACCAAUGAUACGAUUUUCUAAAACGGUGAAUAACUUCUGAAGUUCAGAACAAAACAAAGCAUCUCUCUUCUUUGAUUUAUGCAGUAGUUGCUUUCCUGGAAAAUUAGCAUUAACUCCAGGCCAAAAAAUAACUGUAUGCCUGAAGUGGAAUUUGAUUCCGUGUAGAUGGGUAUGAGCAGUUUUUCCUCUGUGGAAAUGGCGUGGGGUAAGUGAAAUAGUUGUCUUCUCCUCUGUAAGACGUGCAAGCCCCUGCCCAGCAAGUGACAGCCCAGAUUGCCCCCACACGUGUCCACCACCUCUGGUGAACCGCUGGGCUAUUGCAGUGGACUUAGGAUAAGCUAGAAUUAGGGUCAGUGUAAGUUCUUCAUUUAGGCUGAGAAAACACCUGUACAGAAAACAGAAGGGGGAAAAAUGACUUAGCACAAGAAGGGGUGAGAAGAGUGUCAGAUGUUUGUUGACAGUAAGUGAAGUACGGAGAACUGGUUUCAUGUGACCUCCUCUCUGCUGGCUGCUCGGAAGGCGGGCAGUAACUAGACCCUUGCUGUGCAGUAGACAUACAAUGUUAGGCACACAUGUAACUUCACAUUUUCUAGUUGCCACAUUACAAAAAAGACAAAAACAGGAGUUCCCAUCUUGGCGCAGUGGAAGUGAGUCCAACUAGGAACCAUGAGAUUGUAGGUUCAAACCCUGGCCUUCCUCAGUGGGAUCCAGUGUUGCCAUGAGCUGUGGUGUAGGUCCCAGAUGCAGUUCAGAUCUGGCGUUGCUGUGGCUGUGCCUGUGGCCGGUGGCUACAGCUCUGAUUAGACCCCUAGCCUGGGAACCUC